GGUGAGUAAUAUAUAGUUAAUCUGCCCCAAAGAAGAGAAUAAUUGUUGGAAACGACUUGUAAUGCUCUAUAUGCCUUUAUUACAUAAGUAAGCAAGGGAAACAUUUAUGGCUUUGGGAUGAGACUGUACGGUAUCAGCUAGUUGGUGAGGUAAUGGCUCACCAAGGCUAUGACAUCUAACUGGUUUGAGAGGAUGAUCAGUCACACUGGAACUGAGACACGGUCCAGACUCCUACGGGAGGCAGCAGUGGGGAAUAUUGCACAAUGGAGGAAACUCUGAUGCAGCAACGCCGCGUGGAGGAUGACACAUUUCGGUGCGUAAACUCCUUUUAUAUGAGAAGAUAAUGACGGUAUCAUAUGAAUAAGCACCGGCUAACUUCGUGCCAGCAGCCGCGGUAAUACGAGGGGUGCAAGCGUUACUCGGAAUCACUGGGCGUAAAGAGCAUGUAGGCGGGUAGUUAAGUUGGAAGUGAAAUCCUAUGGCUCAACCAUAGAACUGCUUCCAAAACUGAUUAUCUAGAGUAUGGGAGAGGUAGAUGGAAUUUCUGGUGUAGGGG
rnacentral:rRNA from 1 species